CUGAUUGAAUUCACACUAACAUUAUACCAUUAUUCAAGAGCAGAGGAGGAUUGUGAAACGAGCCCAAAUCAUUGCUCUGCGAGAUGAAGGCCUUUCCAUUCGAGCAAUAGCUAGUCGCAUGGCCAUAUCAGCAACAACUGUCAACAAAUGGAUCAAGCGGCAUCAGGAAACUGGAUUACUUACAAGUUUACAUAGAAGACCGCGUCCCCGCGUAAACCUCACGGGAGGAAGACGAGGCCAUCAUACGAGCGGUCGAAGAAAACCCGUAUACGAACGCCACAAGGUUAAGGAAAACGCUCCAGUUAAAUGUAAGCCCUGAAACUGUCCGUAGACGGUUACACGAAAGUGGAGUGUAUCAGCUGAUCCCUUCCAGGAAGGAACAGGCGAAUCAGCACCACACAGGUAGACAGUGCAUUAUCUGUCGACAUUCCGGAGUGCGGCUGGAAUUCCAUAGCAGUUUCUUAGAUGAAGAAAAUGUUCAGCAUGAAACACGGGAAGAUACACUUGAGAAGAUGUGAACGUGACACAAGGCCGCUGUGGAUAUAUGAUUGAUAAACAAGGUUGAUGGAGUAGCUAGUAAAUAAAAUUUAAUAUAUU